rnacentral:tRNA from 2 species
GGCGACGUACCCAAGGGGUAAGGGAGAGGUCUGCAAAACCUUUAUUCGCCGGUUCGAGUCCGGCCGUCGCCUCCA